rnacentral:rRNA from 1 species
CGGCAACGGAUAUCUCGGCUCUCGCAUCGAUGAAGAACGUAGCGAAAUGCGAUACUUGGUGUGAAUUGCAGAAUCCCGUGAACCAUCGAGUCUUUGAACGCAAGUUGCGCCCGAAGCCAUCAGGCCGAGGGCACGCCUGCCUGGGCGUCACACGUCGUCGCCCCC